AGCUUUACAGGGGAUGAUGGUUUGAACCUUCGACAUUGAGAAGCUGUUGCUGUGUCCUAUUUGGAAAGGAAGUGAAUAGUCAGUCAGGCGUAUGGAGAGCCCGGACAAUAGAAGCUUGAACCCACGAGAGUCGUGCUAGUUGCCAACUGUAUCACGAGGAAGGACAAAUAAUGUUGAAUGCAGCGACGCGGAGCACAUGGUUUUCCCAAACAACCACCACCGGAUCGCGUGUGCACAAGAACCUGCCGACAAAAGCACCUGCCGACCGCACCGAAACGCCGCCGUUUAUGGACGCCGCCUGCAACUCCACCGAUGAAGUCAUCUCGCACACGCUCUCCGGGCGGUAAAUGUGAGCGUGUGUGUGCGUGUGUACAUCACUAUUACUUUUCACACCACCCAGACGACCGCCAAUCCAUCACAAAAAUCACUGUUGUGCUGCCAGGCGCUCGGGUGCAAUAUGGAACUUGGAUGGAUUAUAAAAUUUCGACCCCGCUGCCGCUGCAUUUCAGCGGCGAAAACGGCGAAACAGUGAAACAGCCAAGCUCUAUCCAUCAUUUCGCGCUGAAAGCGUUCUCGCUGUUGCGCGAGCAUUACCGCGCAAAGGACAAGUCGCGGGAAGCCAGCAGCAGAAGAAGCAGCAGCAGCAGUAACGCCGGCAGUAUGUGUUUAUAGU